GUUUCCGUAGUGUAGUGGUCAUCACGUUUGCCUCACAUGCAAAAGGUCCCCAGUUCAAAACUGGGCGGAAACA
rnacentral:tRNA from 1 species